CCUGCCAUCUAUCCGGCCCGCAGGCUGCCAGUUUGACAGAACUGGCCUAAUUUAUCUGCCGAGGGCGGAUUUGAACUAUUGUUUCCUGGUUUCUACCUUGGUGUAACCAUUAUAUAAGAUUGGUUAUCUAGUAGACAUUUUAGGAGAAGGGAAAUCAAGGUGCCACGUAUAUCCCUUUAAAAAUUAUGGUAUAAUAAAAUAUGACCCAUAUCCAUGCCUGACAACUAGCAAGAAAGAGCUAUUUCAGGUAAUCCUCAUCUAGCAACCACAAUUGAUUCUGUUGAAAUGGCUGCAAAGUGACCUGGUCAUUAAGUGAACCAUGUGAUGGGUGGGAGACAGAGAGACUGAAAAACUACUAAUUGUUUCAGGCUUAGAAUUCAGAUAGAGAAGCCCUGGAUGAAGAGAGAGAUCUUCAUUAGACAUCUAGAAGAUGUAACAGCUGGCAUCUUGCUAAUUUCGGAAGAGAGAGAGAGAGAGUUCCCGAGUUUAAGACAUCAUAUAAUGUACAUACCAGUAAGUGAUCAUUAGAUUGUAUAAUCAUGGACCUGGAAGAAUUGUUUAAACAACUGAUCCAAAUGCCACUUGAGUGUAUACAAAAUAAAGCCUUUCAACAGAUAGAUUUCUAACCUCUUCCGGAAUACAUAUACUGAAACAGGAGCACAUCACCUUUCUGGGUAAUUGACUUUUCUGACAUUCUCUCUAGUUCCAGGUCAUCCUGAAGUCCUUUAUAUCUACUGUUUUUAAAACCUCAUGUGUGUCCUUUAUUUUUUCUUUAGAACUUUGAUAAACUUUUUUUAGAGUCACAGAUGUUUUUUCUUUCCUGACCUCCAUUUUUUCUCCUUACUUGAAUUAUAUGCAGUUGUGCUUUUAAUGUACCUUUUUGGGGAAUUUCUACUCACCUGGAGCUCCUUUUUCCAUUAGCUUCUCCAACUAUGGAAUCCUAGGUAUUAUAGUUUUGAAUUUAUUAACAUUCGUUACAUUCAGCUUUAGUUUCUCUGAAAAAAAUUAAGAACAUUGACAUAUGAUGGUCAUUUUCUAAAUAGUUUUGAUUUUUUUUAUACUUUCCGAUUUCUCAUCAAUUUAUAAUUUAACAUUUUGUUAAUAAUACCAUGCUUGCAAGGAUGAAUAAAAUGGAAUCCACUGACUGUUUUGCAGGAACUAUAUUUGUCCGAGAAUGUAUUUUUAAAUAAAAUAGAAUAUCUUUUGGAU